CGACCGUUUUGGAGGAUAUAUUCGCUCGACCAGCUCAACCCCGCCAUACUUUUCCUCCUGCUUAUAAGGAGCUCCUUUCAUGAUAUCUCCCCCAUACCACCCCUUGAAGUUCAAGUAAUUUUCUUCGAGAGAAACAACAUCAUCUUCUCCCUCGCAUCCUUUUUACAAGCUUCAAUUUAUUCACUCUCUUUCAAGUUCAGGAACCGAGUUCUUUAGUUUUCAAACUUAUUCCCCCUGCUUUUAGCUGUACUUAGAUUUUCACUUAUGGCAUCCAAUUUCCGCCUUUCUUUACAUUGCUCUUGCUACUCCUGGACACCUAAGCAAAACAAAACGUUUGAAACGGCCCUGGCUAAAUAUGACCGGGACACCCCUGACCGCUGGCACAAUGUUGCCAAGGCUGUGGGUGGGAAGUCAGCUGAGGAAGUCAAGCUGCACUAUGAUAUCCUAGUCAAGGAUCUCAAAGACAUUGAGUCUGGCCAGUACCCGUAUCCAUAUCCAAGUGGAAGCAGCGGCUAAAGCAGUGAGAAUAAAACAGCGGUUUCCAAUGAGUCAAAGACUAAGGUGAAAAAUAAUAAGAUACCCAUACAACCAGAGACCUCAAUUGCAGAAAGACUAGAAAACUAGCAUUGUAUAAUAGUAAUCAUAAUAUAUAUUACCAAAAAGAAAAUCCCUA